rnacentral:rRNA from 1 species
GAUGAACGCUGGCGGCGUGCUUAACACAUGCAAGUCGAACGAGAAGUGAAGACGGAACCCUUCGGGCGGAAGGCUUUAUUUCGAGUGGCGGCCGGGUGAGUAACGCGUGGGUAACCUGCCUCAUACAGGGGGAUAACAGUUGGAAACGACUGUUAAUACCGCAUAAGACCACAGCACCGCAUGGUGCGGGGGUAAAAACUCCGGUGGUAUGGGAUGGACCCGUGUUCGAUUAGCCAGUUGGCAGGGUAACGGCCCACCAAAGAGACGAUCGAUAGCCGAGCUGAGAGGAGGACAGGCCACGUUGGGACUGAGGCACGGCCCAAACUCCUACGGGAGGGAGCAGUGGGGAAUAUUGCGGAAUGGGGGAAGCCCUGAUGCAGCGACGCCGCGUGAGUGAAGAAGUAUUUCGGUAUGUAAAGCUCUCUCAGAAGGGAAGAAAAUGACGGUACCUGAGUAAGAAGCCCCGGCUAACUACGUG